UACAGAGGUCCCAAGCGUUGUUCGGAUUCACUGGGCGUAAAGGGUGCGUAGGUGGUUGGGAAAGUUUGAUGUGAAAGCUCGGAGCUUAACUCCGAAAUGGCAUUGAAUACUUCUUAACUUGAGGGUCGGAGGGGAGACUGGAAUUCUCGGUGUAGCAGUGAAAUGCGUAGAUAUCGAGAGGAACACCAGUGGCGAAGGCGAGUCUCUGGACGACUCCUGACACUGAGGCACGGAAAAGCUAGGGGAGCAAACAGG
rnacentral:rRNA from 1 species